UACAAUAAUGAAUUUAAUUUGAAUCUAAAACUAACAUAGGUACUUUGAACAUUUGAGCUUAUAGUCAUAUUAUGUUUAAACUAAUCUCUGAUUAUGAAAAGUCUGUACAAGUUUGAACAUUCUAAUACAUAAUUUUCUUUAUUAAAUCACAUCGUUGAAAGUAUAAAAAUUAAUCUACCGGAGAAUUUUUUAAGCAAAAGUUGUAAUUUUGAAGUUUGGAUUUAUAGGUAUUUUGGAAAGAAAGAAAGAAAAAUGUUUAUUUUUGAAAGCUGUGACACACAUUACCAGUUACACCUACGGGUUAGGUUAUCCCGGCGCGGCGCCUCUAAUUCUUGAGCAUUAAAAUCAAAAGACCUCAAGCAGAAGAAUCGCCGGAAUAAACUGUGCCAUGUGUGGCACAACCCGAAAACUAAGGUCCCAACUCAGCAUAAAUGCUGUAUGUAUUUUAAGAAUCCUUAUAUUAUACUAAAUCCACAUAAUAUAUACGAACAAAGAAAUAGCAAAUCAUAAAAAUGAUCUUAACCUACCCGGCCUAGCUCCAAUUUAGAAUAAAGAGACGCUGUUUUUUCGUUUUUUCACACAUUUUCAACUCGCAAAGCUUCGCUGCAAAGCCAGAAAAAUAUAAUUAAAAAUAAUACGCAUCUACUUACUGUAAUAUAAGAAUUUUCUUAAAAGUUAAAAUUUUAGAUGAAAAUAUAGUUUAAUCAUCAAUUUGUUUGAUAACGUGUCACUAACAACGAAAACUUU